AGGUUAAUAGAAGAGGCUGCCCGUUUGUUUUCUGUUCCUGCGACUGAUUUUUGAAGUGGUACAUUAAGGACUUUGGAGUUCACUGUUUAGCUUCAUUCUGAGGCAGAAGAAUACAGCUGGUCUGUUUGGCUCAAAAAUCUCUCUCAAGGUUUUCUUGUACCUUCCUUUGAAGCAUCUGGCACUGGGCUCUGGACUCCACAAAACCACUGGUCUGGCAACUCAUGUGUUCAAUGUUGCAGAAUUGUACCAUGGAAAGUAAGCUUUCCUCUCUUUAACCCUUGCCUCCCUUGAAAUGUAUUUCUUUAGCCUUUGUGUUUUGAAGACAACCAGUGUACAAAUGUCACAGCCUAGAACCUAGACACCAACUUUCUGCUGCCAGCAUACAAGACGACAGACUGCAGCUCACACUCUUAGAGCUGUGUUAACUCAGGAAGACCAGAGGCAGAAAUAAUGAUAUACUGCUUUUAAUUCCUAAAUGAGCACUCUGGCUUCUCUACUACAGGAAUUGCACUUGGAUAGAACUGCAUGAAUAGAGGCAAAUGAGUGUGCAUAUCCAGACAGAAGGCAUGAUGUUGCAUAUGCACAAGUAAUAAAAUGGCUGUGUCAAAUCUA